UGCUUCUUCCGCUAUACGCCAUGGACAGAGAGGGCAGCCUGUUGUGUGUUUUUAUUAGUAAACGUUAAAGAUCAAACGGUAUCAUCAUGUCCAGGGUGCCGAUGGGCAAGGUGCUGCUGCGAAAUGUUAUUCGUCACACAGAUGCCCACAACAAGGAGUCACAUGCACUGUGAUCGUGUGGAGGAUGGGUCUGUAGACAGACUGGGAGAAGAGAACACGUUUCCAGCCAGGACAAGAGGGAGGCACGCUACUGGACCAAGAGACUCUAUGACUUUGAGGCCAAUGAUCCAGACAGGUAGAGAGACCGUGGUGAUGAUCAGAAUGGGCAUUGGAGAAAGUAAAAGUCCAGACUUAAAACAGCCAAAUCAAAACAUCUGAAGAAGUCCUCCAAGAAGAAGAAAGAGGAAAAGCGAAGGACAGGUGAGUCAGACGGAGUCCAGCAAUGACACGAGCGACAAUGUCAAACAGGAACAGAAGAGGAAAAGCAGCAAGAGCAAACAUAAGAGGAAAAAGAGGGAGAGAGAGGAGAGCAGCUCAGAGGAGGAUGAUGAUGAUGAUGAGAAGGAGGAAAUUAUAGAUGGACUCCCACAGAGACUCAGGACCAGAGUCACACAAGAAGAGGAGGAAAAACUGGAAAGCAGGAGAGGACAAAUCGGAGGACAGUUCCUAGGAUUGAACCUUUUUCCAUUGGCAGCCAGUAACCUGUACCCUCAUACUGCUCAACCCCCUUUCAGUUGCUGAAAGUGAGUGGGCAAAGCUUUCACAGUUACACCCCACUUCCACUUUAGUGCCCAUUGUUUCCCACUAGAUUUGUUGUGAACACAGCAUCACCAUAGCUAAUUGCUAGACAUGUUUGUGAUUUAUCCAAUAACAAGACAACUGAGGAAUUGGCUAAAGUACAAAUACAACUUUUGAACAGACCUACUGGCAGGGGAAAGCAUAUCGUUCUUCCCUUAACUUGCCUCUGCAAUACUCUUCUGUUCUGUACUUCUCUUUCUGUGUACAGCUGAGCACAAACCUGUGUUCUCCCCUAAGGGCUUUCAGCAGUACCUCACCUUCUGUUACUGGCAGUGCUCAAGCUGCAGUGCUCAAGCUGCAGUGCUCAGAUAGUGAGCUGACACUGCACAAAUAUGGACUAAACGAAAGCCACCUAAUCCCACCUCAUGACAAGCUGAUUGACUGCAGAGCCUUGUCUCAUAGUUAGUGUCCUGGCUCGACUUUAGCUGUUAUACUAUGGAAAAUUAUGACAUUUUAUGCAGAUUUCCCAACCAAUUGUGACAAUCUUUUCUGCAUUUUUUAAUUCAGUAUUUAUUUAUUUUUUAAAUUGUGAUUUAUGGGAGUCGGCAUUUAACGGAAUGUCAGGUGGGACAUUGAAAAAUAAAAUGCAUAUUUAGUUGUUUUCUGAAAAUGUACUCUGGUUAUCACACCAUACUUUUGGACAGGAAGGACAUAUCACAUGGAUCUCAUGUUAUGACUACAGGAUAUCUACAUGACUAUCAUUCACUAGUCUUCUCUGUAGGCCUAUAGCCUUUCUAUUUCAUGAGCAUGAAUUUUACUCUUCAUGCAUCCAAUUUUAUGAAAUAUUGCUUCCAUUUGCCCCUUGGGUUGAAUACAUCCAGAACUGGGUACCAUUAACCAUAUAACGUUGUAUAAAUGGUGUACGGUUUCCCUCUAGUGUUAAGUUUCUACAGUACUCGCUGUAGAUUUAAUGUACAUGAAAAUGGAAUAGGUCAGCACUGAAUGAGAAUCUCUACAUUACUAUAUAAACGACUUUUAAGAGACCUGCUGAAAAAGGUGCUAUCGUCUAAAACAGGUUUGAGCUUCAUAGUUUUAUUCUUACGUAGAGAGCAGGCCACUGCUAUAUGGUAUCUUUUCAAGUUCAUGCCUUUCUCCUUAAUGAUCAUCACACUGUACAAGGUUAAUUUAUUAUUUAGUGGAAGGGCGAGGAGGCCUACAGGGUCUAAUAUCCUGUUAUCUAUGGUGCGUUGUCUCCACCUGGUGGCUCAACAGUGUAUAACACCCUGAGGAUUGAUUGACUCAUGGCUGCUUUUGACUUCAUCAGAAUAAAUAAUUUAUUUGUGACAUAUAAAGCAA